rnacentral:rRNA from 1 species
AACGAACGCUGGCGGCAUGCCUAACACAUGCAAGUCGAACGAGAACUUCGGGUCUAGGGGCGCACGGGUGCGUAACGCGGGGGAACCUGCCCGUAGGUUCGGAAUAACUCCCCGAAAGGGGUGCUAAUACCGGAUAAUGUCAUAGGACCAAAGAGUUCUCGCCGUUGGGUGGGCGCUGGUUGGAUUCGGUGGUUGGUAGUGUAAAAGCCUACCAAGGCGUCGAUCCAGAGCUGGUCUGAGAGGAUGCUCAGCUAGACUGGGGCUGCGACACGGCCCAGACUGCUACGGGGGGCAGCAGUAGGGAAUAUUGUGCGCUGGGCGCUAGCCUGAUCCAGCAACGCCGCGUGAGUGAUGAAGGCCUUAGGGUUGUAAAGCUGUUUGACCCGGGAUGAUAAUGACAGUACCGGGAGAAUAAGCUCCGGCUAACUCCGUG